rnacentral:pre_miRNA from 1 species
UUGGGUAAAAUUAAUGUGAAUCCCACACUUUGAAAAUGGAUCCCACAUAAAGUUGUAGGACUCACAUUGAUUUUGGCCAA